rnacentral:rRNA from 2 species
UACGGGGGGUGCGAGCGUUGUCCGGAAUCACUGGGCGUAAAGGGCGCGUAGGUGGCCUGAUAAGGGUGUGGUGAAAGUCCGGGGCUUAACCCCGGAUCUGCCGUGCCGACUGUUAGGCUAGAGUGCUGUAGGGGCAGGCGGAAUUCCGGGUGUAGCGGUGGAAUGCGUAGAGAUCCGGAGGAAGACCGGUGGCGAAGGCGGCCUGCUGGGCAGAUACUGACACUGAGGCGCGACAGCGUGGGGAGCAAACAGG